rnacentral:rRNA from 1 species
AGAGUUUGAUCCUGGCUCAGGACGAACGCUGGCGGCGUGCCUAAUACAUGCAAGUCGAGCGGACAGAUGGGAGCUUGCUCCCUGAUGUUAGCGGCGGACGGGUGAGUAACACGUGGGUAACCUGCCUGUAAGACUGGGAUAACCCCGGGAAACCGGGGCUAAUACCGGAUGGUUGUUUGAACCGCAUGGUUCAAACAUAAAAGGUGGCUUCGGCUACCACUUACAGAUGGACCCGCGGCGCAUUAGCUAGUUGGUGAGGUAACGGCUCACCAAGGCAACGAUGCGUAGCCGACCUGAGAGGGUGAUCGGCCACACUGGGACUGAGACACGGCCCAGACUCCUACGGGAGGCAGCAGUAGGGAAUCUUCCGCAAUGGACGAAAGUCUGACGGAGCAACGCCGCGUGAGUGAUGAAGGUUUUCGGAUCGUAAAGCUCUGUUGUUAGGGAAGAACAAGUACCGUUCGAAUAGGGCGGUACCUUGACGGUACCUAACCAGAAAGCCACGGCUAACUACGUGCCAGCAGCCGCGGUAAUACGUAGGUGGCAAGCGUUGUCCGGAAUUAUUGGGCGUAAAGGGCUCGCAGGCGGUUUCUUAAGUCUGAUGUGAAAGCCCCCGGCUCAACCGGGGAGGGUCAUUGGAAACUGGGGAACUUGAGUGCAGAAGAGGAGAGUGGAAUUCCACGUGUAGCGGUGAAAUGCGUAGAGAUGUGGAGGAACACCAGUGGCGAAGGCGACUCUCUGGUCUGUAACUGACGCUGAGGAGCGAAAGCGUGGGGAGCGAACAGGAUUAGAUACCCUGGUAGUCCACGCCGUAAACGAUGAGUGCUAAGUGUUAGGGGGUUUCCGCCCCUUAGUGCUGCAGCUAACGCAUUAAGCACUCCGCCUGGGGAGUACGGUCGCAAGACUGAAACUCAAAGGAAUUGACGGGGGCCCGCACAAGCGAUGGAGCAUGUGGUUUAAUUCGAAGCAACGCGAAGAACCUUACCAGGUCUUGACAUCCUCUGACAAUCCUAGAGAUAGGACGUCCCCUUCGGGGGCAGAGUGACAGGUGGUGCAUGGUUGUCGUCAGCUCGUGUCGUGAGAUGUUGGGUUAAGUCCCGCAACGAGCGCAACCCUUGAUCUUAGUUGCCAGCAUUCAGUUGGGCACUCUAAGGUGACUGCCGGUGACAAACCGGAGGAAGGUGGGGAUGACGUCAAAUCAUCAUGCCCCUUAUGACCUGGGCUACACACGUGCUACAAUGGACAGAACAAAGGGCAGCGAAACCGCGAGGUUAAGCCAAUCCCACAAAUCUGUUCUCAGUUCGGAUCGCAGUCUGCAACUCGACUGCGUGAAGCUGGAAUCGCUAGUAAUCGCGGAUCAGCAUGCCGCGGUGAAUACGUUCCCGGGCCUUGUACACACCGCCCGUCACACCACGAGAGUUUGUAACACCCGAAGUCGGUGAGGUAACCUUUUAGGAGCCAGCCGCCGAAGGUGGGACAGAUGAUUGGGGUGAAGUCGUAACAAGGUAGCCGUAUCGGAAGGUGCGGCUG